rnacentral:tRNA from 1 species
CCCUGGCUGUCCUGUGGUUAGGACUCUGCACUCUAAUAGCUGAGGUCCUGGGUUCAAUCCCUGGUCAGGGA